CAACUUUUUCGCGCGGUGCCGUUGUCUACUCGCAUACGUGAUUUAGUGUUAGUGAUACUAAAGUUUUUCAUAAACAUGGUGAAUUUUGGUGGCCAAAACAUUGAUGGUGAGAACAUUAGGAAGAAAAUGUUGCGAAAGCAGAUAAAAAAACUACAGUUAUUGAACCCAAAUAGCGAAGCGCGACCACGAAAAAUCCGAUGAGCAGCCUGCAAGCCAGGACGCAAUAAAAGACAAACCAUGAUUACCAGAAACUGAUGUGGAUCUUCAGACAGUUUCAUAUAGUACUUUUUUGUCACAAUGUACAAGGACAGCUCAAAAUGACGAGCAAGAAACAUAUUUAUUUUCGGAACAAGGUGAAGAAGAAAAAAUGAAAGUCGUAUCAAGAAGAUAAACAUUGGAACAAUAAAAUAGUACCAAAACCAGCAUUCGAAAAUAUCUGUUAUGUUAUGUUAUAUUAUAUAUCAAAUGUCAAAAUUCUAUCUUAUUAUCUAUACUAAUAUUAUAAAUCUAAAGAGUUUGUUUGUUUGUUUGAA